rnacentral:rRNA from 1 species
UCUGGUUGAUCCUGCCGGUUGCAUAUGCUUGUCUUAAAGAUUAAGCCAUGCAUGUCUAAGUAUAAGUAGUAUACAGCGAAACUGCGAAUGGCUCAUUAGAACAGUUAUAGUUUAUUCGAUAGUAAAAUUACAUGGAUAACCGUGGUAAUUCUAGGGCUAAUACAUGCGCAAAUGCCCGACUUUGAAGGGUUGUAUUUAUUAGAUCUAACCAUCAUUUGGUGAAUCAUAGUAACUGAUCGGACCUCGCGAUUGCGAGGCAAAUCGUUCAAGUUUCUGCCCUAUCAGCUUUCGAUGGUAGUGUAUUGGACUACCAUGGCAGUCACGGGUAACGGGGAAUUAGGGUUCGAUUCCGGAGAGGGAGCCUGAGAAACGGCUACCACAUCUAAGGAAGGCAGCAGGCGCGUAAAUUACCCAAUCCCGACUCGGGGAGGUAGUGACAAGAAAUAACAACUCGAGAGGAUUUCCUCUACGAGAUUGCAAUGAGAACAAUUUAAAUCACUUAACGAGGAACAAUUGGAGGGCAAGUCUGGUGCCAGCAGCCGCGGUAAUUCCAGCUCCAAUAGCGUGCGCAAAAGUUGUUGCAGUUAAAAAGCUCGUAGUUGAACUUCUGGUCACACACUGGCUUGGCUUCAGUCGGCUUGGUGUGUGAUCAUCCCGUCUGCAAACUUAUGUCUUCCUUAAUUGGGUAGCGUGAG